CAACACUCUACUAAGAAAUGUUUUCAUCCAUAUUUACAAAUUAUUUGGGUACAUUUUCUAUUUUCCAGGUUACUGCUGGCAAUGGUCCUGCUGGUGGCUCUGUCCCUGCUUCAUUCAGGUUGCUCUUCUCCAGCCUCCCAUGGUCCCCUCCUCACGGCUCUCCCAGUGCUUCCUCAGCACCUUUCCAGCUUCCACCUGAUGCCUGCUUUGAAAACCAGGUCAAAGUUUCAGGUCUUGGAAGAAACCAUCACACCGAGGUCAUUUCUGAGCACAGCGUGGAAGCUCCUAUGUUUGCAGGCAAGUGAUUGAUUGAAGUUUGG
rnacentral:lncRNA from 1 species